rnacentral:miRNA from 1 species
UUGGGCUGGCCAGAAAGUUUGUUUGGGUUUUUGCAGAUGAUCAUACGGAAAAACCCAAACAAAUUUUUGGCUAACUCAAU